rnacentral:rRNA from 1 species
UACGAAGGGGGCUAGCGUUGCUCGGAAUCACUGGGCGUAAAGGGCGCGUAGGCGGACAGUUUAGUCAGAGGUGAAAGCCCAGGGCUCAACCUUGGAAAUGCCUUUGAUACUGGCUGUCUUGAGUUCGGGAGAGGUGUGUGGAACGCCGAGUGUAGAGGUGAAAUUCGUAGAUAUUCGGCAGAACACCAGUGGCGAAGGCGACACACUGGCCCGAUACUGACGCUGAGGCGCGAAAGCGUGGGGAGCAAACAGG